rnacentral:rRNA from 1 species
UACGUAGGGUGCGAGCGUUAAUCGGAAUUACUGGGCGUAAAGCGUGCGCAGGCGGUUUUGUAAGCCAGAUGUGAAAUCCCCGGGUUUAACCUGGGAAUGGCAUUUGGGACUGCAAGGCUCGAGUGCGGCAGAGGAGACUGGAAUUCCUGGUGUAGCAGUGAAAUGCGUAGAUAUCAGGAGGAAUACCGAUGGCGAAGGCAGGUCUCUGGGCUGACACUGACGCUCAUGCACGAAAGCGUGGGGAGCAAACAGG